rnacentral:tRNA from 1 species
GCCGCCCUAGCUCAGCUGGUAGAGCAAUCCCUUCGUAAGGGAUAGGUCCGGAGUUCGAAUCUCCGGGGCGGCUCCA